rnacentral:rRNA from 1 species
AUUGAACGCUGGCGGAAUGCUUUACACAUGCAAGUCGAACGGCAGCACGGACUUCGGUCUGGUGGCGAGUGGCGAACGGGUGAGUAAUGUAUCGGAACGUGCCCAGUCGUGGGGGAUAACGUAGUGAAAAUUACGCUAAUACCGCAUACGAACUAUGGAUGAAAGCGGGGGGACGCAAGACCUCCGGCGCUUGCAGCGGCGGAAAGCAGAUUGGGUAGUUGGUGGGGUAAAGGCCCACCAAGCCGACGAUCUGGAGCUGGUCUGAGAAGACGACCGACCACACUGGAACUGAGACACGGUCCAGACUCCUACGGGAGGCAGCAGUGGGGAAUUUUGGACAAUGGGCGAGAGCCUGAUCCAGCCAUUCCGCGUGCAGGAUGAAGGCCCUCGGGUUGUAAACUGCUUUUGUACAGAACGAAAAGGUUUCUACUAAUACUAGGAGCUCAUGACGGUACUGUAAGAAUAAGCACCGGCUAACUACGUGCCAGCAGCCGCCGCGG